CGGCAACAUCAGUUUGAAAUUGGAACCCCGGUUCUCAUAAGAUCACCGAAGUUAAACAACGUCGAGCCUGGUCAUUAUUUAGAUGGGUGACCAUUUGGGAAUAUCAAGUGCUGGAA